UCAGGAGGAGGGCUGAAAGGGUGAGAGGUCAUAAAGUAAAAAGAAAGGGCAAGUCCAUCGUGGCCAACAGUGGACAGUUAAAACAUGGAUAAUAAGUCAAUGCUGGAAGCGAAGGGGAUGAAAAUGACUGGAGUUUGGCAACUAUCUGUUUGUAUAAGUGAAUCCAGAGUUCUCUGUGCCCAGCUUCGCCAGGAGACUUUCGAGCAGUUCGGCCCUACUUUGAGCGAGACGUGUGGGGAAGUUGGAUUUGAAAGGCUUCACCAGCUCAACAGGCACAAACUGCAAGACUCGAACAUCCUUCAGGACAGCAAU